CUCCAUAUAAAAGCAACCCGCUCCCACUUUUCUUCCCCUUCUGCAAUCCUCAGCUUUCUUUGUGUCUGCAGUACUCUCCUCUCUCUUUGGUGUGUAUUGUUCGUUUCCUUCUCUUGCAAUCAUAGAAUCUUUUAUUCACUUCGCCAUAGAUUAUUUGCUCUUUAAACAUAUGUUUCUCUCUCUUGCCCAUCAGAGUCUUCAUAUAUAUGUCGAUCCUUGAAUUUUAAACCCUAGAGCCCUUUUGUUAUUUAAAAAAAAAAUUUGUUGGUGUGUUUAAGGGCGAGGCAAUUUGGGAGUUUCUGGUUGGAUAGCAUUAAUGCUUACUGCGAGUUGAAGCCAGACUCUAUUGCACCAUGGGUUUUGAUAAUGAGUGCAUACUGAACAUUCAAUCUCUGGCUGGAGAAUAUUUCUGUCCUGUUUGCCGUCUGCUAGUCUAUCCAAAUGAAGCAUUACAGUCCUUGUGUACCCACCUAUACUGUAAGCCAUGUUUAACAUAUAUUGUGAGCACUACCAGGGCUUGCCCCUAUGAUGGCUACUUGGUGACAGAAGCAGAUUCCAAGCCUCUUAUUGAAUCAAACAAAGCUCUAGCUGAAACCAUUGGCAAGAUAACAGUUCAUUGUCUAUACCAUAGAAGUGGAUGCACUUGGCAGGGUCCUUUAUCUGAGUGUACUUCUCAUUGUUCUGGAUGUGCCUUUGGUAAUUCUCCUGUUGUAUGUAACCGGUGUGGUAUUCAAAUUGUGCAUCGUCAAGUGCAGGAACAUGCACAAAAUUGUCCUGGUGUGCAGUCUCAAGCUCAGUCGGAUGCUGCCCAGGAUGCUACAGCCACAGGGACAACACCUGUUAGUACCCAGGUUGCUGCUCAGGCAGGAACUACUACCACUCAGGAUCAGACAUCUCAAACCACAGCAACCUCAUUACCUGUACAAGAUCCCAACCAGCAAGCCAACCAAACUUCACAGCCCCAGUCUGUAGUGCAGGCUACUGUGCCCACAGCAGAACAGUGGUAUCAACAGCAGCAACAAUAUCAACAGUACUACCAACAAUAUCCUGGAUAUGAUCCUUAUCAACAGCAUUAUCAGCAAUACUACCCUUAUCAACAGCAAGCAGUUCCGCAAUAUCCACAACCUCAGGUUUAUCUGCAGCCUCAGUUCCCUCAACAGCAAGUUCAACCUCAGACUCAGCUGCAAACACAAUCUCUGUCAAAUCCACAUGUUCAGGCGCCUGCUGCUGCUGCUGCUCAGCCCCAGAACCAGCCACAAGUCAAUCUGCAGCAACAAACUCACACUGUUCAGCCACAGUCUCAAAUACAAUCACAGAUUAACCCACCACCCCAUGGCCAACCACAAUCUCAGGCUCAGCAGCACCCACAAACCCACCCUGUUCAGCAUCAUCUUCAACAUGUACAAAUGCCUCAAAAUCCGCGGCCUCAUUCGCAGAUUCAGCAUCCGCAACCCCAAGUUCAGGCACUGGCUCAUUCUCAGCUUCAUCCUCAGUAUCCUGUUCCUCAACCUCGACAUCAUUCACAAGGUCUGCCUCAGACACAUGCUCAACAUCCUUCGCAGCCUGUUCCACAAGCCUUUACUUCUCAGCCAAACCAGCCAUUGAAUCCUCAUCUCCAGCCUCAGCUACAACAUUCAUCAGCCCAUGCAGUGACAGGCCAUAACUCUUAUACCCAACCACAGUCUCAACAGCAAAUGCAGCUGGGAGGUCCACAACAUCCUCCACAUUUUUAUCCUCAAGGUAGGCCUCAACCACAAUCACAUCUUGUUCAAAUGCAGAGUCAGUUCCCUCAACAACCUCCUUUGUUACGUCCACCACAAUCUCAUGGUCCAAUUCAAAACCCUCAACAGCCUGGUUUGUUACCUUCACCUGGUCAAGUCCCUAAUGUGCCUCCUGUACAGCAGCAACCAGUGCAUUCCCAUGCUCAACAACCUGGACUUCCUCAUCAACACCUUGUUAUGCAGUCAGUUCAGCAACAAGUCCAUCAGCAGUAUGUGCAGCAGCAGCCAUUUUCUGGACAAGCGCCAGUGCCAGUUCAGAAUCAGGUGCCUCAGCAAGGUGCUUACACGCAGCAACAAUUGCAUGUGCAUUCUCAAAUACGUCCCCAGGGGCUGCCCCCAUCAUUCCAGCAACCUUCUAAUGCCUAUCCACUGCCUCAGCAGAAUGUUGCAUUACUGCAUGGCACGCAAUCCCAUCAAGCCCAAACUCUUGGUGGAAGGCCUAUGGUGCCACCUCAUGGAGUGCCAACUCAGCCACAUCCUCACUCAUCUGCUCUCAUGCAGGUAAAGCCAAUGGAGGUUGGUGCAGGUCAAUCAGGAAUUGCACUAAGGACCAACAACCAAGAUCAAUCGCCUUCUGAGCUACAGUCUGGGCCUAUUUCAAGACCAAUGUCUGAGAAACAAGGGGAUCACACUAUUGAGAAAAGUUCAGAAGCUGAAUCUACUCAUAAAAAUGUUAAAAGGGAUCCUGAUGAUUUGGAUGUUGCUUCUGGUGUUGUGGCUGAUGUAGGCGCGGUAAAGACUGUAAAAUCUGAAUGCUAUUUGAAGCCAGUGGAUGCUGACAAUAAACCCAUGGGUAAUGUCAAGGAUAUAUCAGAAUCUCAUGGAGCUGAGAAUGGAGAGUAUUUGAUUAAGCAGGUAAAGAAAGAGCCUAGAGAGGCUAGUAAUGACCAGAAAGAUGGUUCUAAUACCGACCAUAAAAGGGUUGAACAUUCUGUUGUGUCAGAAGACAAGGAAAUGAAAAGUGGGCCUCUGUUGAAAACUCCUCCAUUGCAGGAAGGUGAACACCUUGAAGACCAUAGUAUGAAAUUACAGGACUUGAACUUGACUCCACAAUGUUCUGGAGGCUUUACUCUGCACGGGCAGGUGCAAGGUGAGGGCUUGGUACAACCCUCUCAUUUGGUUCCCAUUGCUGAGCAGGGAAAGCAGCAGCCUCCUUUAAUUCCUCAUGGGCCUUCUGUCCUUCAACAAAGGCCUGUUGGAUCCCCAUUGUUACAAGCACCUCCUCCUGGACCUCCACAUCACAUGCAUUUACCUGGGCAUCCAUCCGCCCCAUCAAGGUCUUUGGGUUCUGGGCAUAUGUCUCAUACUGGACAACCUUUGAAUCCACUCCAUGAACAUCUCCAGCAACCUCUGUACAAGCAGUCUCAUGGUCCUGAAGUCUCUCCUAUUGGCAUUGCUGGCUUGGGCUCUACUUCAAUCUUUGGGAGGGGUCCAAGUCAUUAUGGUCCACAGGGACCUUCUACUCAAGGUCAUGGACUCCCUUUGGAAGGUGAAAGAACAUCAUUAUAUGGCCAUGAAUCUGACAUGUUUCCAAAUCAGAGGCCCAGCUAUACAGAUGGCAGAAGACUAGAUCCAUUUGGGAAACAAUCUGGCAUGCACACAAAUGCGAUGAGAUUGAAUGGUGCCCCAGGGCCAGACUCCUUGGGAAGUGGAUCACGGGAUGAUCGGUUCAGGCCUUUGCUAGAUGAGCAUAUGAAUCCCUUUCCACAGGAUCCAGGCCGAAUUGUUGAUCAGGCAGAGUUUGAAGAAGAUGCCAAGCAUUUCCCCAGGCCUUCUCAUUUGGACACUGAAUCUGUUCAAAAAUAUGGAAGUCAAUUUCCCCCUUCAAGACCUCUUGAUAGGGUACCUCAUAGUUUUGGUAUGAAUUUACCCCUGAAAACUCUUGACCAGGGACCACAUGGUAUGAAUUAUGAUUCGGGGAUGAAAUUGGAAUCCUUGGGUGGCUCUGCACCCCCAAAGUUCUUUCCUAAUCAUCAUGAUGGUUUAAUGCAUCCCAAUGAUAUAGGAGAAAGGCCAAUUGUUUUUCUUGACAAGACUGCAGGCAGGCAGCCAGAUACUGCUCAAACCCAACCAGAUCUUUUUGGACCAGUUCCUAGAUAUGGUCGUCGUCAUAUGGAUGGUUUGGCUACUAGAAGUCCAGGUAGAGAUUAUCCUGGUGUAUCCUCACAUGGAGUUGGAGCCUUUCCUGGACUUGAUGAUAUUGCUGGCAGGGAAUCACGACGAUUUGGUGAUUCAUUUCAUAAUAAUAGGUUUCCAGCUUUACCCAGCCAUUUACGCAGGGGCCAGUUUGAGGGUCCUGGUCAAGAUGGAUUUCCCAAUCAUUUGCGAAGGGGUGAGCAUAUGCUUAUGGGAGAGCCUUUUGGUUUUGGUGCUUUCCCUGGUCCUGCACGGAUGGGAGAAUUGCCUGGGCCCGGGAAUUUCUUUCAUUCACGACUUGGUGAGCCAGGAUUUAGGAGCGGCUUUUCCCACAAGGGAAUUCCUGGUGAUGGUGGAAACUAUCCAGGUGACUUGGAAUCUUUUGAUGGUUCAAGAAGGAGAAAGGCAUCUAGCAUGGGAUGGUGUCGUAUUUGUAAAGUUGACUGUGAAAGUGUUGAAGGCUUAGACAUACAUUCACAGACGAGGGACCAUCAAAAGAUGGCUAUGGAUAUGGUUGUGACAAUCAAGCAGAAUGCAAAAAAGCAAAAAUUAGCCUCCAGUGAUCAUUCCUCACUUGAUAAUGCAAGCAAGUCAAGGAAUGCCAGUUUUGAGGGCCGUGGGAAUAAGAAUUAAGUUGUGGUAGCAUGUUACAAUGUGAAUCACCUGGGUGCAUUGCUGGCUCAGGGUUGAUUUUUUUGCUUUGAUAUAUUUGAACUUGUUGGCAUAGGUGACUCAACCUUCCUUUGCUUUCUGGGUGGUUUUGCUAGUCUUGUCAUUUCAGGUUGCUGCCCUGUUAAAGGAGAUGUUUUGCAGAGCUGAAGUUCAGUGGCAAUUUUUUCAAUUCGACCUGUCUUUUUACGGCCGAAGCAAACAACAAAAAGACAGAAAGUUCGGCGGAAAGGUUUACUCAGUCAUCUUUUUUAGAUGUGGCAAGAUUAUGUUCAAUGUACAAAUGUAAGUCUAUUCUUUGCUCAUUGGCAUUGAUGUUCUUGAAUUUACUAUGUCAACAUUGGAAAUUUUUUGAAUAGGUUACUGUUUUUUAGGAUAAAGUAUUCUGUAGUUGAAACUAUAUUGGGAUGGUCUUUGCGAUGCGACUGUUGGAAAACUUGAGAGGCUUAGAGAACUCUUUGUGAUGGUUGGAAACUUGAGAGGCUUAGAGAAUUCUUUUUGAUUGUUGGAAACUUGAGAGGCUUAGGGAACUUGAGGCUUUGUUUAGUUGUGGAAAAAUAGAAGAUGAUGAAAUCAAAUUUCUAAAUUUUCUAAUUUUAAACUAACUGGUGGAUAACAAGUUUAGAUAGUUUUCCAUUAUUUCUUUACAAAAGUAGGAGGCUCUGCUAGGGUAGAAAACACGGUGUUUUCCACUUGUUAUAUAUUUUUGGUGUCUUGUUGCUAAUAUCGAAUUCCAAUAAUCACUACACACCUACCUAGAUGCUAUUUCAUAGUUUCUUUACAGAUUUUUUUAAAAUAUAAAUUUUAUAUCAAUUUUGAAAUGUUAAAAUAAAUUGUUUGUUUAAAAAAAUUACAAUAAAUUAUUGCUAUAAUAAUUAUCAUGGUAGUUAUAUUAUUUUCUUCUAUUUUUUUCUUUCAAAUCGAUGUAUAAUAUUAAAUUACCUACUAUCUUCCAAAUCUGUAGCUUUACCAACUGAAUGUGUAUUUCUAAACUUAUCACUUGGUGAUAGGUUCAAUGAACGUUAUUUUAUUUUUUAAUUUUCUUAAAUUUGUUUUAUAAUAAUAUAUAUUAAUGCUUCAAAAAAUAAAUGUUAAAAAUAUUUAAAUUUCAGAUAUUAGACUCAUUAACUUUUUU
rnacentral:misc_RNA from 1 species